GAUGAACGCUGGCGGCGUGCUUAACACAUGCAAGUCGAACGAUGAAGCCCAGCUUGCUGGGUGGAUUAGUGGCGAACGGGUGAGUAACACGUGAGCAACCUGCCCUCCACUUCGGGAUAAGCCUUGGAAACGAGGUCUAAUACCGGAUAUGAGCGCCUGCCGCAUGGUGGGUGUUGGAAAGUUUUUCGGUGGGGGAUGGGCUCGCGGCCUAUCAGCUUGUUGGUGGGGUAAUGGCCUACCAAGGCGUCGACGGGUAGCCGGCCUGAGAGGGCGACCGGCCACACUGGGACUGAGACACGGCCCAGACUCCUACGGGAGGCAGCAGUGGGGAAUAUUGCACAAUGGGCGAAAGCCUGAUGCAGCGACGCCACGUGAGGGAUGACGGCCUUCGGGUUGUAAACCUCUUUCCGCCGGGAAGAAGCGCAAGUGACGGUACCUGCAGAAGAAGCGCCGGCUAACUACGUGCCAGCCGCCGCGGUAA
rnacentral:rRNA from 1 species